rnacentral:lncRNA from 1 species
CAACCUCCCUCAGGGCCGGGGCCACAGCUGGCGCCUCCCUGGCAGCACGGGGCCUGUGCCCUGCAGACAGCGGGGGUAUUUAUUGAAUGUAUUGAGCUGACUCUCUAGGGGCCAAACCCAAGAACUUAUGCGGGGAGAACAGUCAGGCAAAGACAGGAGCCCCCAUUCUGGGCAGACGGGGACCUCUUUUGAGCGACUCUUAGUAAGUGGUACAGAGAACAGAGUAUGAGGCUUCAGAGCAGAUAGAAUGGGCGUGAAAAUUGGUUCCACCACUUGUUAGCUGUGUGCUCUCUGGAGCUCAGUGUCUUCCCUUGAGAUUGCUAUAAUGCAAUAAAUGUAUAAAAAGUCCUGAGGACGUGCCACCCCUGCUCCCACCUCCCUCAUUUACUCAGCAAAUAGUUAUGAACCGCCCACGAAACGUAAGGCACUGUGCUAAACAUUGUCUGUAUCAGUGGUUUCUAUGGAAUGGUAUUUCAGGGUUCAGGCUGGGAGUACCCCAAGAGCACCAAGAUGGAGAGGUCGUCACAAACGUGUCGAGCUGAAUGAAGUGUCUGUGAUGUAUGAGGAUCCUCCCUGCACCCACACCGGAUAUCAUCCGCCAGCGCAGGGUUCAGUGUUGACCCUCAUGCUCCAGUUUAUAAAACGGCAUUACCUUCACAGGCCCCAUGUGAGUUCAUCAGAGGCCCGGGUGCUAUGAGGCAGACAACAACCACCCAGGUCCUCUGGAGGAGACACGAGCACAGAUUGGCCUCUUCCCCAGUGGUGCUGCUAUGGCCGCACCCCGGCCCCCCCCCAACCCCCCCUGCACUCCACACCAGGUCAACAGCCCCCGCCUUUCCCUAGGGGUUUGUCACGCUUUACUUUAGUUCUUUAAAUCCAUACGUUUUCCUCUAGAUCGUUGGCCUCUCCAAGGUUACACUUGGAGAAGGGGCCAGCAGCCCCACUUUCUUGGUGAAUGCCUGCCUUCUCCUCUAGACGGCCAGCUUCCUGGAGGCGCAGUGCAUGUUGGCCUGGUCCCUCACUGCCAGGGCCUGCCCCAUCGUAGAUACACAGAAAACAUGUGCUGAAUGAACUGCCUACUUCCUUCUUGAUAUGCUUACGGUCUCUUGAUUUUCUAUGCCCUCCCA